rnacentral:rRNA from 1 species
CAGGACAAUGUGGUGUUUAAGCUUGUACCUGGAGCCGCCAACCUACCCGAAGUCCAACUCCGAUUGUGGCUUGGAUUGUGCCCAUAGCGGGUGAUAGGCCCGUACGGGUAGGUUAUAUUGUUUUAGCGGUUCUCAGAUGUACUUGCUUUCGAGUCGGAUUGCUUGAGAAUGCAGUCCAAAGUGGGUGGUAAACUCCAUCCAAGGCUAAAUACUGGCACGAGUCCGAUAGUAGACAAGUACCGUGAGGGAAAGUUGAAAAGUACUCUGAAGAGAGAGUAAACAGUACGUGAAGCCGGUUGCAGGGAAGCUGGUGGAGUCAAGCUUCAUGCUUGAAGGAUUUGUAUCAGCAGCAUUGGUUGUAUGGAUGCGAUAGUGAUCAACUUGAAAUAAGUUGGGCGCAUUCGUGUGCUUCAAGUCAUUCCGGGUUGUGUGUUUGAUAUCACUAUCGCUUUUCAGUUGCUGGUACUCUAUCCUUCGUUGCAUAAAUCAUGGUCGAUAGCAUUGUUUGCGUGUUACGUGAUUGUCUAACUGCGCUUUGGCAGGCAUUUGUUUGUCGGGCGUAGGAUGGCAGGUUGCGGCUACAGUUCCUUGUGUUCUGUUGUCGCUUAUAGUGGUUUCGACCAGCUGAUGAUCAUGUAAUAUCGCUGCUAUUGUUUUUGAUUAGUACUCAGUCUUAGGACUCUGUGCUGGUUAGAACCAUGAUUCUGAGGUAGAUUUUCCACCCGACCCGUCUUGAAACACGGACCAAGGAGUUUAACAUGCGCGCAAGUCACUGGGCUUAUUAUGAAACCCAAAGGCGCAAUGAAAGUGAAAGGCUUUCAGUCUUAGGUGUGAUUCUAGUUUGCUUUAACAAGGCGGCUAGACGCAGCACCGGCCCGUCUCAUAAUGUUGUCAUUCUGGCUACGGUUGGAAUGCGUCAUAGAGGCGGAGCAAGAGCGCGCAUGUUGAGACCCGAAAGAUGGUGAACUAUGCUUGCGUAGGUUGAAGCCAGAGGAAACUCUGGUGGAGGACCGAAGCGGUUUUGACGUGCAAAUCGAUCGUCAAACGUGAGCAUAGGGGCGAAAGACUAAUCGAACCAUCUAGUAGCUGGUUCCCUCCGAAGUUUCCCUCAGGAUAGCUGGCACUCACUUUGCUUAAUCAGUUUUAUCCGGUAAAGCGAAUGAUUAGAGGUAUUGGGGGCAAAUUGUCCUCAACCUAUUCUCAAACUAUAAAUGGGUACGAUGCUCGGCUCGCUCGAAUGGAGUCAAGCAUUGAAUGUGAGUGCCAAGUGGGCCAUUUUUGGUAAGCAGAACUGGCGCUGUGGGAUGCUCCGAACGUUCAGAUAAGGUGCCCAACGUGACGCUCAUGAGAUACCAGA